rnacentral:rRNA from 1 species
AAUUCGCCCYUUUGCCAACANCCGCGGUAAUACGUARGGGGCAAGCGUUGUCCGGAAUUAUUGGGCAGUAAAGCGCGCGCAGGCGGUUCUUUAAGUCUGGUGUUUAAGCCCGUGGCUCAACCACGGGCGCACUGGAAACUGGGGGACUGGAGUGCAGGAGAGGAAAGUGGAAUUCCACGUGUAACGAURUAAUGCGUAGAGAUCUGGAGRAACACCAGUGGCGAAGRCGACUUUNUGGCCUGUAAAUGACGCUGAGGCGCGAAAGCGUGGGGAGC